UCUCCUACGGGAGGCUGCAGUGGGGAAUUUUGGACAAUGGGGGCAACCCUGAUCCAGCCAUGCCGCGUGCGGGAAGAAGGCCUUCGGGUUGUAAACCGCUUUCGGCCGGAACGAAAUCGCCGGAGAGAACAUCUCCGGUGGAUGACGGUACCGGAAGAAGAAGCACCGGCUAACUACGUGCCAGCAGCCGCGGUAAUACGUAGGGUGCAAGCGUUAAUCGGAAUUACUGGGCGUAAAGCGUGCGCAGGUGGUUCGCUAAGACAGAUGUGAAAUCCCCGGGCUCAACCUGGGAACUGCGUUUGUGACUGGCGGGCUAGAGUGCGGAAGAGGGAGGUGGAAUUCCACGUGUAGCAGUGAAAUGCGUAGAGAUGUGGAGGAACACCGAUGGCGAAGGCAGCCUCCUGGUCUAGCACUGACGCUCAUGCACGAAAGCGUGGGGAGCAAACAGGAUUAGAUACCCUGGUAGUCCACGCCCUAAACGAUGACGACUAGUUGUUGGGGUAGAAGUACCUUAGUAACGCAGCUAACGCGUGAAGUCGUCCGCC
rnacentral:rRNA from 1 species